rnacentral:lncRNA from 1 species
AUCUCACCCAUGCGGCUUAAUCGGCACAAAAUGCAUUUGGCACCUUGUGGGGAAGGAAGCUGCUCUCUGCCAUCCAGCCCGGGCUGGGCUGUGGCUGCCAAGACAAACAGGGCUGUGGAUGAGGACACCCUGGGUUUCUGUCAGCAUCCAGAGUUUAGUAUCAGAAAGAAAUGGAAUUUUUGCUUGUUGGUUGUCUCCCACCUGCAGAAUGUGUAUUGAUGUCACUUGAAAAUCUGGUUGUCAACAUCAUAAAAACAGUGCUAGGAAAAGCCACAAAAUAUUGCACAAGACCCAGAAGGACUGAAAGUUGGAGGAUUUCUUUCAGGGGAUAUAUUGUUUUCACUGGGGAAGACUGCUCCAAAGCUCCACCAGGAUCCCUGUGGGCUGGGACAAGGUGGGUUUCCUACCUGAGCUGGGAAGCUGCAGCCCACAGGAUGGACAUUCCUGCCUCCUCCAGGACAGGAUCCAGGAGAAGCUCUGGGAAUGUGCACAGGUUGAUCAGGCAGACCAUCACUUCCUGCAGCCCAGGUUAUAAGGACAAGUUCACCUUGCAUCAUCCUGCUCCAUUUCCUCAGCUGGCAUUUAACUUCCAGUUGGAUGCAUCACGGCAUUUUACUCCUGUCCAUGGGUGA